GGCGCACGGGUGAGUAACGCGUGGAUAAUCUGCCCUUCAGUUGGGAAUAACUCAUCGAAAGGUGGGCUAAUACCGAAUAACGCUGUAAGACCUUGGUCGAUCAGCCAAAGAGAGCCUCUGCUUGCAUGCCCUCGCUGAAGGAUGAGUCCGCGUACCAUUAGCUAGUUGGUAGGGUAAUAGCCUACCAAGGCGACGAUGGUUAGCUGGCCUGAGAGGAUGAUCAGCCACACUGGAACUGAGACACGGUCCAGACUCCUACGGGAGGCAGCAGUGAGGGAUCUUGCGCAAUGGGGGAAACCCUGACGCAGCAACGCCGCGUGAGUGAGGAAGGUCUUCGGAUCGUAAAGCUCUGUCAGAUGGAAAGAACCGCAUGGGGGUUAACAGCCCCUGUGUCUGACGGUACCAUCAGAGGAAGCACCGGCUAACUCCGUGCCAGCAGCCGCGGUAAUACGGGGGGUGCAAGCGUUGUUCGGAAUUAUUGGGCGUAAAGAGCGUGUAGGCGGCCUGAUGUGUCAGAUGUGAAAGCCCUGGGCUCAACUCAGGAAGUGCAUUUGAAACUGUCAGGCUUGAGUAGGGGAGAGAGAAGUGGAAUUCCUGGUGUAGAGGUGAAAUUCGUAGAUAUCAGGAGGAUCACCGGUGGCGAAGGCGACUUCCUGGCCCUAUACUGACGCUGAGACGCGAGAGCGUGGGUAGCAAACAGGAUUAGAUACCCUGGUAGUCCACGCCGUAAACGAUGUUCACUAGGUGUUGGGGGUAUUGACCCCCUCAGUGCCGGA
rnacentral:rRNA from 1 species